GAUGAAGAACGUAGCGAAAUGCGAUACGUAAUGUGAAUUGCAGAAUUCAGUGAAUCAUCGAAUCUUUGAACGCAUAUUGCGCUCUCUGGUAUUCCGGAGAGCAUGCUUGUUUGAGUAUCAGUAAACACCUCAACUCCCUUUUCUUUUUUGAAAUUGGAGCUGGACUUGAGUGAUCCCAACGCUUUCUUCCAAGAAAGUGGCGGGUUGCUUGAAAUGCAGGUGCAGCUGAACUUUUCUCUGAGCUAUAAGCAUAUCUAUUUAGUCUGCCUAAAAAACAGAUUAUUACCUUUGCUGCAGCUAACAUAAAGGAGACUAGUUCUUGUGCUGACUGAUGCAGGAUUCACAGAGACAGCUUCGGCUGACUUUGUAAACUCGAUAUCAAAUCAAGUAAGACUACCCGCUGAACUUAAGCAUAUCAAUAAGCGGAGGA
rnacentral:misc_RNA from 1 species